CACGCAGGUUCUCUCUCUCUCAAAAUAAACUUUGAAAAAAAAAGGAAAAGGACUUGCUGAGGUCUGCACAACUGAUAGUUCACUGAAAUGUCUGAAGCCCCUCUGGCCCGGAGCAACCUGGGUGAAGGUCAUGUUUGCCUGGAACAUUUCUCAGGAGGGCUAUGGUAGCAUUUAGGGGCUGGGAUCUCUUACUGCAGAGCUCCAGAGGCAGACGCUGGUUCAUGUGCUGGAGGAGGCUCAUAUCUAAAACUGGAGUAUUGUACGUUGGACACUCUGAGAAGCAGACUCUGAGACCAAGAGGGGGAAAACCGAGGCAAGAACAAGUUGAGCAAGCCACCCAAAGUCACACAGCUGGAGCGUGUCAAGCCAAGACGUGAAGACAGGUGGUCUGGGCCAGCAUCCACACUCUCGUUUUAUCUGAAAGUUCCUGUCGGUUGUGCUUGUUGUGUAUUGUUUGAAUAAUGUUGCAUAUCACCAUACUGAUGACCCCAAACUUUCUAAUUAUUAACCUUUAAUGACAGCAACAAACAGCAACGCUA